rnacentral:rRNA from 1 species
AUUGAACGCUGGCGGCAUGCUUUACACAUGCAAGUCGAACGGUAACAGGCCUUCGGGUGCUGACGAGUGGCGAACGGGUGAGUAAUGCAUCGGAACGUACCCAGAGGUGGGGGAUAACGCAGCGAAAGCUGUGCUAAUACCGCAUGUGAUCUGAGGAUGAAAGCGGGGGACCGAGCAGCAAUGUUUGGCCUCGCGCCUUUGGAGCGGCCGAUGUCGGAUUAGCUAGUUGGUGGGGUAAAGGCCUACCAAGGCGACGAUCCGUAGCUGGUCUGAGAGGACGACCAGCCACACUGGGACUGAGACACGGCCCAGACUCCUACGGGAGGCAGCAGUGGGGAAUUUUGGACAGUGGGCGCAAGCCUGAUCCAGCAAUGCCGCGUGCGGGAAGAAGGCCUUCGGGUUGUAAACCGCUUUUGGCAGGAACGAAACGGUGUCCGCUAAUACCGGGCGCUAAUACGGUACCUGCAGAAUAAGCACCGGCUAACUACGUG